rnacentral:rRNA from 1 species
UACGUAGGGCGCAAGCGUUAUCCGGAAUUAUUGGGCGUAAAGAGCUCGUAGGCGGUUUGUCGCGUCGGCUGUGAAAUCCCGAGGCUCAACCUCGGGUCUGCAGUCGAUACGGGCAAACUAGAGUAUUGCAGGGGAGACUGGAAUUCCUGGUGUAGCGGUGAAAUGCGCAGAUAUCAGGAGGAACACCGGUGGCGAAGGCGGGUCUCUGGGCAAUAACUGACGCUGAGGAGCGAAAGCGUGGGGAGCGAACAGG